AAUAUCAAAGGUGAGCCAGUACAGGAUGGACCCGCGUCUGAUUAGCUAGUUGGUAAGGUAACGGCUUACCAAGGCGACGAUCAGUAGCCGACCUGAGAGGGUGAUCGGCCACAUUGGAACUGGGACACGGUCCAAACUCCUACGGGAGGCAGCAGUGGGGAAUAUUGCACAAUGGGCGAAAGCCUGAUGCAGCAACGCCGCGUGAGUGAUGAAGGCCUUCGGGUCGUAAAACUCUGUCCU
rnacentral:rRNA from 1 species